rnacentral:rRNA from 1 species
AUUGAACGCUGGCGGCAGGCCUAACACAUGCAAGUCGAGCGGAGCGGCGGACGGGUGCGUAAUGCCUAGGAAUCUGCCUGGUAGUGGGGGAUAACGUACGGAAACGGGCGCUAAUACCGCAUACUAUCAGAUGAGCCUAGGUCGGAUUGGCUAGUUGGUGGGGUAAAGGCCUACCAAGGCGACGAUCCGUAACUGGUCUGAGAGGAUGAACAGUCAAACUGGACCUGGGACACGGUCCGGAAUCCUACGGAAGGCAGCAGUGGGAAAUAUUGGACAAUGGGCGAAAGCCUGAUGCAGCCAUGCCGCGUGGUGGAAGAAGGUCUUCGGAUUGUAAAGCACUUUAAGUUGGGAGGCGUUACCGACAGAAUAAGCAACGGCUAACUUCGUGCCAGCAGCCGCGGUAAUAC